AACAGAUCUGGACUUUGGCUUCAAUCUAGAGGAAACAGACACCUGAAAAUGAGCCCAGCUGAGCAUCUACUUGCUGCCACAUUAGCUGUGAAAACUAUGACGGACAUGCGGAUCCACAUGAAGUCAUACAGCAAAUAUUUGGUGCCGUUACAUGUACUGUGGUUCUUCCUGUUCAGAGAACUCCUGUUCAGAAGCAGUAUGGGGCCAGGAAGCUAUAGAGAUAAAACACCAAAAUCUACUUUGAAAGUUAAGGAAGCAUUAAGAGGGGGAAUAAAUAGAUGAUAUAAGAUGAUAGCAUAAAAUUG
rnacentral:lncRNA from 1 species